rnacentral:lncRNA from 1 species
UCCGGUGAGGUGAGCAGAAGAACCUCUCACAAGAAUAGCCCGGGCUCCUUCACAAUCUUCUUGAAGGGCUCAACGACUCUAUAGCCUCAAAGCCGUCUAGGAGGUGGCAACCUCCAAGAGUAACAAGCCAAUGACGCUUGCUUGAAGACUCCCUAGUGCCACAAAGCUCAACUCUUGAUGAAAUGCGCUAGGAUGCUCUCAAUCUCACAAGAAUGCAAACUCUAAGCAAAGUGAGUGAGAGAGAGGAAGAAGAAGGCCCAAGUAUGUCAUGGAAGCUUUCCAAAUUGCCAAGAGAGCUCUCCCACGACCAGGCAUGAGCUAUUUAUAGAGCCAUCCUCCAAAACUAGCUGUUAUAUUCAAAACGCAUGAAAACAGAGGAUUGAUGGAACGUCCGCGGUUCAUAUUUUCAUCCAUGCAGGGAGAAGUUAGACAUGUCCAAAACAUGUCAAUCCCCAUGAUAUUUACGGCGGACAUGUCGCGGACCGUCCACCUCUCAUUUUCGCCAAACAUUCAGAACCAAACUGGUUCUAUCCAACUCUUCAAAUUAGCCAGCGGACCGUCCGCCGUUCACAUCGAAGCACCUCUCAGAACCAAGAAUAGUUCUAUCUAAAUUGUAGAUCAUGUGGCGGACUGUCUGCCACCCACGGCUGGACUGUCCUCCCUAACUUAAUGCCCCACCAGAACCAAAACUUGUCAUGUCUAAAAACCAAACCAAGUGGCGGACGCCCCUUAGGGCCAGACCAUCCGCCCUUUAACUUUUCAACGCAUCAGAACAAAUUCAAAGUUUGGCUAAGUCAAAUAACGGUCCGCUUGCAAGGGAGACCGUUCGCCAUACACAGCGUGCUAGCCAUUUUCAAAAUAUAUUUUUACCAGCGUAUUUCCCACUUUCCAAACAAGAUAGACCUAUAUGCAUGCAAUGCAAUUGUUUGAGAAAAGUGGCACUAUAGAACCAUCAAGCAAAUGAAAUUGACCCCUCUUGAUAGUACAGCUAUCUAGACUAUUAACCCGGUCAAUUAUCAUCCACUAAGCACCUCUUGACUGGUAAAAUAGGAAAGCCCUACCAUAUACCUUUGCCUUGAGCUUUCCAAUGCAAAUUCAUCCAAGCUAUCACCGUAGCAUCCUUUGAAGCUCAAUUCAUCUCCGGAACUAACCUAUACUCAUAUCUCCAUGAAAUUGUUAGUCCAUGAAUAUUAUCAUUAAUUACCAAAACCUAAUUAGGGGCCUAGAUGCUUUCAGCUAGACCCUUGUGGUGACUUCAUCAGCAUCGAAAUCUGUCGGCUAUUCUCUUGGGGGUGAUCUAGGGAUACAAUUGCACGUGUGUAUUCAUAGAGGUAAGUGUGCAUACAUAAUCUGUGAGGAAAUUAACAAAUUAAAUAGGCCCCAAGUCUUGUAUAUUGUGCCUAGAAUAUUUAGUUACCCUAUUUUUGUUUCUAGCUAGUAGAUCCUAUAAUUCAUCUUUGUGAUCUAUAUGACAUUUUCUUGCACCUUUAUUGUAUUUAUAUGUCUUUCCAUGGCUGUACAACUGGUUUUUGCUAUUAGUAGAAUAAAGCAGUUAUAAUGGUGGUAACACGAGGAGCAUGACCAAAUAUUAGUUAAGGGUCUGAGUUGUGUGGGUGAUAGCUGAGCAACUUGCAUUGUCUUGCGGCUUAGUCAUUGAUGUGCUGCCACUAUAGCACAACACCAGAUUAGUGACAUACGUCAGUUGGUAACAGUCUACUAUUACCAUUGAGAGGUCAAUCGGUAAAACUCUCCAACGCACGGUCAUUCGGUGAUCCUUGUUUUGUAGAGUAACUGUCAGUCGGCAAAGAUAUCUGAGUUUAUCGAGUAGCAGUCUGUCGGCAAUUGUAUUUGCUACAUCCAACCGUCAGUCGGUAAAUAGGGCCUACAAAUGGAAUCAUAUCGUACUCUAUAUUGAUUAAAAGUGAUAAACAACAAACUUUACCUUUCUUGCAUCAAACUUUAAUGUAACAUUGAUUUAUUAUGUUUGUUUAUGAAAGUAAUCUCAUUAUAUUUUUAAUAAAUAAUAUACCUUUUAUAAUUUAAAUGUACUCAUGCCUAUUUAUUAGAAUUACUUUGCAUUUAAGCUACAUAUGUUGUAAAAAUGAUCUUUAAAUAAAAAAAUAAAUAUCUAUGCCGGUGCAUUCAUAUAUUUAGAUAGCACUUGCAAAUUUGGAAGAAAAAAAUUCAACGCCUGAUUCAUGGUUUAGCACUUAAUGCUUCAUAACGAAGAGCACAAUGGUCAACGAGGUAGAUGACAUCCACAGUUUCAAACUAACUAAUGCAUGGCUCUAACAAGAGGACUUGAAUGUUUAAUUCUGUUUUUCUACGAUGGAGUACAACUAACUCACACCUUAUUUUCUAGAAGAAAGAAAAGAAUACUUAUAUUUAUCACUAGGAUAGUCCAACAAUUCUGUGUCUCUGCUGUGCCCUCGCUUGUUCAAACCCCAACUCAUUCCUUGACUUACACCUCUACAAAAGCAUCAUUCCUACUUGUUCAAACGGUACCUUGACACUUCUAACUCCUACCACCAGUGUCAUGGUGCAGUGGAUGCACUUCUACAAAUCUAGCGACCGACAGUGCAAUCUGUGGCUAAUGACUUGACUGAACAGUUAUCAAAAUUUGUCCAUCCUCUCCUCCGGAAGAAGGCCUAGCUAGUUUUUGACAAAGCCAAAUCUGCUGAAACCAGCAUAUAGUCGCCAUAUUGAUCGAUCCUAAGAACACGGCCCAAGAACGAAGAGUGUACAAAUACAACACCUAGUCAUUAAUUUUAUCCCCAAGUAAAUUAACUCCAUCCAAGUAAGAAAUCAACAGUUCAAGUUCCAAGUUACUUGAAGUACAUUUAUACACGUGCUCACUGCUCAAUCAACGACCUCAUCGCCUACCCAUGCACGCACACGCAUGUAGAGAGGACGUCUACUUGAAGUAGUAUGGGAGGUCGAGCACGUAGAGGAGGAAGUAGGCCCAGACCACGCCGGAGAUGCCGCCGAAGAAGAAGCCUCCGGUGAACUUGGCCCAGCCGUCGGCGGUCUGCAGCUUGUCGGCCUCCUUCUUGCGGCCGGUGAGCGUGAGCGUGGGCGCCGUGGACGGGUCGCCCUCGUUGAAGGAGGCGACGCCGUACAUGGUGAGGCAGACGCUGAGGAUGGUGACGAGCCCGGCGGCGCCCAGGGCGCCCGCCUGGCCGUGCACGGGCGUGUUGCGGAGCGGGCCGGUGAGGGCGAAGGGGCCCACGAGGAGGUAGCCGUGCGCAAGCCCGACCUCGAUGCCGCGGAGCAGCGGGCUCACGGCGGUGCGGUAGGCCGGGAGGUUGGAGAGGUACCAGGCGAUGAGCGGGCUGGAGGUGAUGGGCGUCUCCAGGCUGCCGAUGAAGGGGUCGCCGUUGAUGGGCUGCACCACCUG